GGAUGUGUUUCUUUGCACAGUGUACAGGGGGGAGAGGGUGAAAGUCUUGUGUCUCCUGUAUAAGAACUGGGGACAUGAGAUGACACCGCUGGUUGUUCCGUCAACGAGGAAAGAAAAUGAAUGUUUUGGAGGUGGAGGAAGAUGGAGGCAACAGAAACGGAGGGAGAAAAAAAAGGAGAAGAUCCCACACUAUCCUUGCAGAACUGUAGUUCCUGUUCUUUCACCUCCUGCCCGAUUCACAUUCACCCUGCUGAGCUACCUUCCUUCCUGCCAGCUGUCUGCUUGGAACAACCUGUCAACCAGCAUCUGCUGGUUCCCAGCACAUCCCUGAAGUGAUCACAGUGCCAACACUUUGGUUCCUCAAACACAGAGAUAUUCCUCCUGAAGAACCCCAAGCUGUUGACAGGAAACACGCCUUCUGCUCACUGCAAACACUGGGGAGUAGAGCAGAGGUCUUUGGAAGUCUUUGUGAACCAAAGCGAGGAACCCGUCCAGCUCUCAGCAUCCUUUUUCAGCACAUUGCUGCCCCUAAAGCACCAGCUGCCGUCGCAGGGAGCGGUCACAAGGAAUUAAAGCUCAGGACCAUCUCUUGGGGUCGGGGACAUAAUCUUACGGACCACUCUAGUAAGAAAAGCAAGAAGAGCUCAGGAGUUGCUGCACCUCGGACUGAUCAGCCCACACCAGCCCCGCAGAGACAGCGAUUUCACGCGGGUGUUAUGCACCGUAACGCGCGAGCACGAGCGCUCAGUCUGGGAGCAGAACAGCAAACUCAUCAUGCCCUAUUUAGCAAAAUGUUCACUGCCAACAUGAAAUUCUGACCCUCACAUUUUAUUAAAGGGAUUAUAUCUUAAAGCAAACUAUUUCAGUCCCUUAGCUAGCUCCUUUCUGUGGAAACUUGCAAGACAAUUUUGAGGACCGUGGCGGGAUCAAGAUGAAACACUUCUGCUUUGCCCACUUAUUUCUUCAGAUGUGCUCAGAUCCUUCCUCUCCUCUGGUAUGUCCCACCUCGUGGUGUCAGCAGCCAUUUGCAAAGCAUCCUUGGCUUUAGUCUCAUCCUGCUUGCAAUUAAAUGCAUGGAAUUAAAUAGACUGCUGUAGGGUCAGCUCUUUUGCUGGUGACAAAUAGCCCUGCUAAACUACCUGCAUAACUCAAGAAGAGCAUCUCCAAGGCCAGAGGGGCUGGAAAGGCAGUUUUACCCUCGAUUGUUUUUGUGAGGGUUUGAAUCCAUUCUAUGGAUUCCACUUAAUGGUAAAAACACACAGUUUAUAUUGUAAAUGAUUGCAUAUGCAUGUUGCAGGGAAGUGGGGGUGGGCCACAUGUUGGGGUAGAUUUGAUAGAACAGCUUUGUGUCAAAUGAAUAGGUGGGUUUAUUAUAGACUUCCCUUGCUCCAAGCUUCAGAUGAGAGAAAUCCUAUAAUCCCGCCCUACUUUAAUACUGGAUUAAUGUGGAUUUGUUAAUAAAAUGCUAGUGAAAUCGAGAAUAAUUUGUAAU
rnacentral:lncRNA from 1 species